rnacentral:rRNA from 1 species
AUUGAACGCUGGCGGUAUGCUUAACACAUGCAGGUCGAACGGUAACAGGCCUUCGGGCGCUGACGAGUGGCGGACGGGUGAGUAACGCGUAGGAAUCUGCCUCAUAGUGGGGGACAACGUGGGGAAACUCACGCUAAUACCGCAUACGCCCUACGGGGGAAAGCGGGGGAUCUUCGGACCUCGCGCUAUGAGAUGAGCCUGCGUUAGAUUAGCUAGUUGGUAGGGUAAAGGCCUACCAAGGCGACGAUCUAUAGCUGGUCUGAGAGGACGAUCAGCCACACUGGGACUGAGACACGGCCCAGACUCCUACGGGAGGCAGCAGUGGGGAAUAUUGGACAAUGGGCGCAAGCCUGAUCCAGCAAUACCCGCGUGUGU